UUGCAUAUUCAGACCCCUCACAAUAACUCGUUUCUACGCUUCGCGUAUCCACGAGUUAAAAGGUUAACGAUAUGAAAAGUUGUCAUUAUACAAUUCUGUUUUCAGAGCUUUCCUUGAAUGGUGUAAACAUCGGGGAUAUGAGGUCGAGAACAAGUUGCAGGAGCCAAGAGAUCCAAGAACCGACCAAAACCCAAACGGUCAAGUCGAAGAAGAUGACGAUCUUCAUGAUCCUGAUGACCCUCCACCCGUCGCCUGCUAAUCUACGACCAGUUCCCAUCACCCUGCAUGCACUUAUUAUCUACCAAUAUGAAUUGUAAUUCUGGUUUUUGUAGUUUUGUAGUCUUUCACUGCUUUGAUUAUUUUAUCCACUUACAAGCUUCGUUCAAUUCUACCAAUAGCGGUCGACCUAAUAAUUGAUGCAUAAAGAAACUUUAUGAAUUUUAUGAUUUUGCACUUAGCUUUAAGCGAAAUUCAUCUGUAUACUGCUUUCUUAGCCGGAGCAGUUUUCGUAUGACUGUGAAAAGCUCGCGGCACGAACACGGUCGUGACACGGCAAGGCAUACGCCAAACCAAUCACACUGCGCGAGAACUUACACUUCAUCCAAUCAAAUACCCGGAACACGGCAUAAACAAGGCGCAGACACGGUCUUAGCCGAGGUCAAGGCACUGCCAGACUAAAUACCUUUUGCGCGAGUAAAAAUAAGCCCAUCAAAAUUUUAGAAAACAUCCCAAGUCACAGUCGCGACAAGACACGCAUAUACCUAUUUCAAAAACAACACGUUGUCAGUCGGAGAUACGGCACCGAGCUUUUCAUAGUCAUACCAAAACUGGUGUAAUCUUGACUUUGUGUUACUUCUGUGCACAAAGAUGAAAACUACUACAGUCAUUAAUGCAAAGUGCACCUAAAAGUUGUUUAACCACAUUAUGCCCAAAGUAAAAGAUUCGCUAAAUCUAGAAA